rnacentral:sRNA from 1 species
GCCGGACGUGGUGGGGCACACCUGUAAUCCCUGCAACUCAGGAGGCUGAGACCGGAGGAUCACAAGUUCAAGGCCAGCCUCAGAAACUUUGUGAGGCCCUAUCUCAA